CUUUAAGAACUUGUAUUGGGUUUCAAAACAAUUUUGAACAAACUUUCAGAAUAGAAACACUUAAACAGUAAUGAGAUUUUGAAGAAAACUUGUUCUUAACACGUGAGAUUUUUAAUAACAGAUAACAAACAGAAAACUUGAAAGAAUUUUAAGUAUUGCAUAGAUUCAAGGUAGAAACAGAAUUUGGUGUUUGAUUUUUUUGUGUUUUAUAAUAUUUUUUAUGCUUUUAUAUUACAACCGUGAUUUGUGCAUUUUUGAGUAAUAUCCUCGGAAACCGAAACAUUGGUAGUGAUGUUUGCUUGUGGGUUAUAACAAAACACAACACUUUGCAAGCGCGCGUAUACUUUUUGUAUCUUGCAGAUACAUUAUUUUGGGUUCACUUGGGUGAGUUGGGAUAUUAUUUUUAAUAAUGUUGGCAGCAGCGAUAACAAGGCAAUAACAAACAACGCGCGUAUAACUAUGUGCGAUCCAGAGAUCAGGGAGAUCCGCUGAUCACUUCCACUUUCUGCUGCGUUCGAUUCGUAAAUGUUGCGUACUUCUUUCUUGCCACAACAAAUUCCGAAAAACCGGGCGAAAAGAAAGAAGCAGAAAGAGAGCAGGCUCUCUGCAAACCGAAACCGAAAACGAAACCAAAACCGAAACAGGAAUGCAAUUGCAGGGGAUCAUGAGUGCGAGUGCUAGUGCCAGUGCCAGGGGAACGGAGAGAGAGAGCUCGUAACGGGGCGCAUAAGCAGGAAUGCAGCAGGGUAACAAAGCCAUAAGGGAGGAUAAUGCAUUCGGAUCGGAGAGACCUCUCGGGAAGGAGCAAAUGGGAGAGCUACGCUUCGGAGAAGCCGGAGAAGAAGGGAACCGGAGUACGAAGAGCUUUUCUCCGAGGUGGCAUGGACAUCAAACAAUAGGCGUCUGGACAGGGAUUUCCAGGCCUUUGUUCCCAAAUCCUUGAUUGACUAAAUGACCCAACUACGAAGACCAGCCGAGAAGCAGGAAUCAUGGAUGGCGGCACUUGAAAAAAAAAAACCCAAAACAGUGCCUUCAGGAAGUCCACAUCAACAGUUCGUGCCAGCGAAAGGAUUGGCAAAUAUAUAUUGUAUUUCAAUUAAUAUGUAAUUCGCUUCAAUAAAUUAUGCUCUGUGCCAAAAAGUGUGUAAUAAGGUCUUAGGACAUAUUUUACUCACAAAAUAAAUCUGAUAAAUUAAAAAAUAACCAGUACUAACAAAAAAGGUGGUACUCUAUCCAAAAGCUUCUUCAAACAGUAAUAGAUGAUAAUAAUAUAAUUGAUAAUAAUUUCAAUUUAUAGGUAGAUUUCUUUGCAUUAUCAUUUAAACAAUCUAUAUGCAUUUUUCUCCGUGCUAAGAGGGAGUAAGCAUCUGUGUGAAAUGGAAGGAAGGCAGCACCGAGGGAAUCCACAGAGAGAGUGCCCUAUCCUACUUACUUACUACCAGUAAAAGUUGUCUGACCUGAAAGAGGCCUCUUCUGGCGAUAAUGUUGUUGACAGGUGCUAAUUGCUUGCCUAGAUCUACAUAAGUCUAUUGAACCCCAGAACGCGAGAGCUUAAGAGCCACUACAAGCCAUCAGAAGACCAAGAAGGCAUAACGCUUUUAUGGUCAUGCAAAUCCAACAAAAGAAGUUCAAGUCAACCGGAAGUCAGAGUUGCAGAAGAGGUGAACAAAAAUCGGACCAGAUUGCUCGAUCGUUACUGACUUAAUAACAGGGAAUAAACAGGACACGUCCCCUUUUCUGAUUGCACACAAAAAAUAAAUUAUACAGAGAACGCACUAAAAUAUUCGCUGACUUCUGAGAUUAGCAAUCAAAGUUCGGCAAUUUUAUGUUCAGAUUAUAAGACUUCAAACAUCAUCUGUUAAGAUGAAAUAAUUCGGUUGAUAUAUUUUAAUGGUAACAAAAUUACAAUUUUUAUUACAUUUGUUAGUCAAAUAGGACGAAGCUAGCACCGACAUAAAAGUGUGAGCAAUCAAUUUCAAAAUAUAAUCACUUUAUGGCUGAUUUUGCAAAAUUGGAAAGCGGGAGAAAGUUGCCGCAGAUGUAGUCGGAAGUAAGAAAUUGAGACAGGAGAUUGAGUUGUCGCUGUCUGGGAUCCAAUUUUCCCCCAAGUGCUUUUUGGGCGUCCACGUAAUUCGCACGGAAAAUAGAAGUCACAGCGCUGCGAUGCCUGUACUGUACAUCCCAUAACUGUCAGGUCCUGCAGGAUAGUACAGACUGCCCAGGACAUUGCACUGCGGAGAGGUGAGCGGAGAGCAGAAGCAGGAGCGGGAACAGGAGCAGGAGCAGGAACAGGGAACCAUACCAAAACGGGAGAGAGAGAAGAGCUCGUGUUGCACUGAGGGGGUUCGAUGAGGUUUGACAGAGGGUCUGACGUAUUGCUGCGAUGUAUAUGCAUAAACCAUCGAGGAAGGAAAAGGAGAAUAGUUUGCAGCUGUCGCUCUACGGCUUUUACUACCGCUGACACACACACAAUCAGCAAUCACCAAUCACCAAUGCAAACCAACCUUCUUAGCGCAUGCCACAAACAAGAAAAGGGGAGUUGGCAUUGCUGGAAAAAGGGAACGCAGCCAAGGAUCUUACAAACAUUCCUACAGAUGGCAGACGGCCUGGUCUCUCAGGGGUCAGGGCGAUUCUUACAGGGCAGCGUCCUCGUCUGAAGAUCGUAUAAGAACUGUAAUAGUGAGGGGUUCUCGAGGAUCUGAGAGGACUCCGAGUUGGAAGAACCACGAAGAGUACUGGAACAUACCGUCGAUCAAUUGGUGUCACUCCCGGAUCCAUUUCGAACAUCUCAAACAUCUGUUGAAUAGAUGGAGUACGAUGUUUACCAACUCAAGAUACGUUUAGGUGUAUUUGAAUUAAAUAACAAAGUAUUAUUUGUAGCUUAUGGUUACAAUUUUCCAAUAACUUUUCAGUUUGUUAGUGAUUGAAAAUUGCCGAAGAUACUUUUGGAUUUCUGGAUUUCUUUCCAAGCAGAUAUUUCCUUUAAUAACAAAUAAUUUAUUGGUAGGCGAAUUGUGUAUCUGAUUAUUUAACAGUUUCUUAUAUAUACUUUUGGAUUUCUGGAUUGUCUGGACCAAGCAGAUAUUUCCUUUAACAACAAAGAAUUUAUUGGUAGGAGAAUUGUGUAUCUGAUUAUUAUAUUACUAUCACUGCAAUUACUUCCACCGGUUGAGUCUUGGAUAUCCUCACUUUUUAGUAUUAAGGAGCGAUUGGAGCUGGGAUCAUUAAACAUAGAGACAGGAGAAAGAACGAGGAAAAAAGAGAUAGAGAGGUGGCUACCUGGCUACCUUUGGACGAUCUGAUCUGAGAAGAUCUGGUCUGGUCUGGGCCGGGACUGGGACUUGGACCUGAAUCUGAACCUCAGGCUGAGUCUGAGGUUGCGGCUCAGGCUACACCGGUUUUCAAAUUUGGGAUAUGUUCACCUCACGUUUUCUGCUUUCGUUCAUUUCAGCUAUUUUAAGUAACAAUAACGAGAGGAGCCGCCGGCCAAGGAGUGCGAACGGGACGGGGAUACGCGGAGCGGUACGGCAACUAAAGCUGCCGUUGCCUGUUCCGAAACCUUCGGGCCAAGUACCAAGUACAUUCAUAAGAGUAGCGGCGGCCUUAAAUGUCCCAGGUUGAGAUUCAGGUUCAGGUUGAGGGCACUGAGAUGAAAAUGCUGGUUUAAAAAAAAAAUUAAUUUUACACCCGAAACCGAACUAAGACUUUCAAGCAAAGCUUGUUUCAUUUGCGAUAUUUCUUAGAGUUUUUCGAGAAAUGACCCAGAACUCUACUUCUCAAUCCGAAAACGUGGUACACGAUUUCUCUCAGUGCACGCACAAGAUAGGUAGAGGAUCUUAGACCGCUCUUUCCACACAAGUUCCUUCUCUCUUUUUCUCUCUGUGUGUGCUGCGCUUUUGUUUUUCCCAUUCACGGAAUUCCUGGAAAUUUGCCGAUCACUAAAUCUCUUGCGCCUUUUGUUGUUGCGUUUCCUACGAAGCAAAAGCGGAAAACAGGACCAGAUCAGGAAAGGACACUGCCCGCAGGAGGGAGAAAGAGUGUGCAAUUAGCCUGGAAGGGACAAUGGGGGUUUUGGGCUCCAAGUGGAUCCCAGGCGUGGGAGCUUCUUCUUCCUCUUCUGUCUCAAUAAAUAAAGCAAUCCCGAACGGAAGUAAGCCAAAUCCAAACGAAAUCAAAUGGUGUGGCAGAUGUCCCACAAGAAAACCAUAUAGGCAAAAUAUGAAGAAGUGGAAAUGGAGAAGAACGAGUGGAAAAGAAGCCGAGAAGCAGAAAAACAGAAAAGCAAAAGGUAGCGCACACGCACUUUUACACCUGGUUCGCUUUUCUUGCGCAAAGGAGGUGUGGAACCAGAGCAAAAGAGACAGCCCGAAGAAGCACCCUUAAAAGGAAAACCAAAAAAAAUAGUAGUAAGUAGCAGUAGUUCGAGCACCCCUUCAUGGCAACCGUCUUCCACUACCCACCUUGGUUUCCACCAUCCACUUCAGACUGGAAUGUAGGAAAGUGGAACGAACCAGGGGUGGAACCUGGGCGAGGGGUGCGCCGUGGGGUGCAGCCUGCAAAUGUCGCGCUUUUUGCCUCCUUGAUAGGAUCUUGUAGGGCACUUACGUAUGUCCAGGUUGCAGAGAGGGUUUGCUAAGCCCAGCGGUAAUGAAGAACACUUUUCCUUGCAUUCUCCACUUGGUGAUUUAAAAGUUUUAUUUAAAAAGGAGUAAAUACGUAAUACAUAAAAUCGAAAAACAAGGACUUUUCUUAACUGAAUCAAAUAAAUAUUUUUCGAGAUCUCCAGUCAGCCUCCAGUUUAAGCUUGUACUAUUGUUUAGCUAUUUUUCUGUAAAAGCAAUUGUCUACUACGACACAUAAAUAAUAAUAUAUUUAAAUAAUAAUAAGAAGAGUAUUCGAGACUUCGACUCUCCACAGAGACAGAGGACCUUUCCUGUUGCUCUGUAAAUGUUGCAUGUUGCAACAGAGGCAUUACACCUCACACCACUUAUUUUCACUCUGUAAUUGUUGCUGCCGAAAUGCAACAGAAGUUCUCUUGUGAGGCUUCGCCUUAAGGAUCUAGUAUUAGAAUGGACUGACUGCUUUCGGCUCCCUGUGUUCCUGGUCGUGUUUUUUGUCCUUUCAGGGCUUCCUGCAACUGCAACAGGAAGCCGAAAGUGGUUGCUGGGGAACGUAGCUCAAAAACCAGCAUUGUGGCACAGUGGGACAUUUGGGUUUGAAAUUUGCUUUAAAUUGAUUGUUUUAAAUUGAUUUUUAGAUAAGACAAUUUGCUUAAGGGAACCUUAAAAUGUAAGUCAACAGAUAUUAAUAAAUAAGAUCCAGACAUACAGACAUAUACAGAGCAAGUGUUAUGAGUCUCGUGAAUUAGCAUACAUUUAAAUACAAUAAUUUUAAUACAAUUAUGUAUGGAACUAGCAGCACUUGGAAAAACUCUUACUUCCAAUCAACUGCAGAGGAUCACCACCAACCCCGGUUACUCAUUUAAGAUUACCCGGAACAUCCACCAGUUUAGAACCAGUGUGCUGCAAGGGCGCAACUUUCGAGGGGAGCUGGUUAGACCCAAAGUCCACUACAGGCAUUGGCAUGUGCCGGAAAGUCGAUGGCCCCUUCUCGCCGAGGAGGGUGACCACCAGCAGCACCACCGCCAAAUCGAGGGCUGCUCCGCUCACGGCACUGAGCCAAUAAUUAAACUAAACUAAAGCAGCCAGCGGGAGGGGAGGAGAUGCAACCCCUAGUCGGUAAUUUGCCAGUCAGGAGUGGGAAUAGGGUGAACCACUUUUCAUUCCACAUUUUGAUGUCUGCAAAAAAGAGCGGAAAACUAAAGCAAGCAAGCAAAGCCAGCUGGCAAGCCGAAUAAGCAAACACCCUACCGAUGGAUGGAUUAGAACUAUGAACUAUUCGUUAAAAUAUACUCAUAAGAGAACGUCCAGAUAGUACUAGUUGCCAAUUUAUAUUGGGUGUAAGUUUAAGUAAUAUAUAGCUCAACUAUUUUAAAUUUAUGCAGUCUAGAGCUGUGCAACUGAGGCUGGAAAACAAUUGUUUUGAGUCUUCUCCCUAAGCGAAGGAUCAGUGGGCAAUGAAAACAAGGAUGCUUUGAGGUUGUUGAUCUAAGGUAGGAUGAUUGCUGUCGAACGUGUCAAACGUCUGGGCCAAGCUGUCGAGCUCUCGUCGAGGGUAAAGGGGUCAAUAAAUAUAAAAUGGUAUUGUAAAUUAGAGCAGAGCCAGCCGGAGGCAGGGGGUGCAAUGAAGAGCGAGGGUUGUCGGUUACAACUAAUCAGUUGGUCCCCUUGUAGAGGCCGGGCUAGGCUGGCCUGGGGCAUUGCAGGAUGCGUCGCGCGUGUCAAGAAAAUCCUGAAAAAUCUUGGUAAACAUCCUGACCCGAAGGCGGCGUAACUGUGCGAAAUCAAUACAGAUUAUGUGCGAGACCGGGAUAAGGCGACAGUU